UCCACAUAGCUGGGGAGCCUGCAUAAUGAU
rnacentral:piRNA from 1 species